rnacentral:lncRNA from 1 species
AUUCAGCUGCAGAGGGAAAGCUUGUUGGUCCCAGCCGGUGCUGGGUGGACAAUCACAGCUUGUUCUCGGGCCGGACAAAGCCCCAACACCUUGGCUGGCCUGGCCCCGAGUCCCUUGAUUGCUGGACCAAGGCCUGUUGAGACUUGCCCUGAACACCCCGGAUUUAAUGGACUGUGAUGCUUGGUCUCCCCUGGAACUCCGUUCUGUUACUCCGCAAACCGUGUAGUUACACAUUCAUUUGCGACGUUUCAAGACCCCCUAGGAAAGAAGGGGCCAUUGUAAACCUUUGAAACAGAACCCAGACGUGCUGAGAGCCCCGAGAUUGUUUCCAGUAACAUGAAACCGCUUUUCAUCGUGCUCUGGAGGGGUGACAAAGAGGCCGAGCCAUGAUGCCUUUGUUCCCACAGUUUACAAUCUCUCGUUUUGGGGUGGACAAAAGGCAGGCACGAAACAGUCAAUAAAAUACAAGGGGCUGUGUGCUAAGUCUCUGCUGGAGAGUUCACGGGAUUGUGAUCAAGAAUUUCCCUCUCCUCGGCCAAGGUGCUGAGCCUGCUUCUCUUUUCUCUGUUUUUACUCAGAAGGGAUAACCCGGGGAAUUGAACAAAGAAGUUUCACUACAGUGAUCUUUUAAGAGCUGAACAUAAUGAAACUUACUUUGAACUCCAUAAGGCAUCACUGUUGAGAAAACACCCCUACGUAUCUCGUUUCACGGGAACCACAGCAUUUCUGUAAGAUACCAGGGAGGUGCUCUUAUCCUCCGUCGACAGAUGUACAAACUGGUGCUUAGAAAGUUGAAGCAAUGUACUCCAACCCCUAAGGCCACAACCGUUUGCAUAUUAAAUUCUGUUGCCAGAGGGCCAGCAUCCAUGACAGUAUUAUUCACACUACAUGCAGUCACGGCAUGGAUUCUCCCAGCAACCCUAGCGGUCUGGUGCUGGAAGACGGGGUUCUGCUUAAAAUCUUCUGCGAUGGGUCAGGACCCCUCAAACCCCGACGCUUGGGUGCGUUACCCAGGUCAUCAUUCCGAGAGUUGACAAAAUCCGGAGAGUCUGUUAUCUGGGAAGCUCUCUGGCUUCCUCAGUGGACACAGAGGUCUCUUGACUUGCGGCGGAAGCAUCCUGGUCCAGGAGCGGUACCCAGCCUCUGCUCCCGAGCCUCACUCAACAUAUGCGCGGCAGCGUUCAGCUUCCUCGUUAACCUAGUUACAGUUUCAUUUCCUUAACUAGGCUCCAGAUAUCCCAUUACUGUUACAAUUAACCUCUGGUCCCUGGUGGUCCACGCUCCAAACAGGGCCCUUUUUCUCCCAGGCUUGUUGCCGUGCCCCCACCCCUGCAUCCCCACGGCCCCAUCCCCUCCCUCAUUAGCCACCCGGCCCUCGCGGAGGCUCACAGGCCCCUUCGGUUAACAGGCCACGGACAAAUUUCCAGUUGAAAAUUGUUUCCAGUUUCCCAUUAAAACGUCUUUUAAAGCCAGGGAAAGCAGGAAACUCGCGGGGCUAUAAACCACCAUCAACCAGCCACAGAAUAUCAGGCCGAAGAGGAAUCUCCUAACGAAGGAGGCAAGUGGGGCCGCCUCUGGAAAGUUCUCUCCACGGGAAUCUUUCAGGAUCUCUCUCCUCUCCUGCUUAUCAUCUCGCCAGAAAAUGGGAACUUCCGAGCCGCUACAUCCCUUAGUUUCUUAAUUUGUAUUUUAUUUGGAAGUAGAGCUGAUUUACAGUGUUAAAAAUCUGACUGCAUUGGAUCCGUGUGCUGCAGAGGUGUGGGUUCCAUCCCUGGCCAGGGAAAUGCCAUAUGCUAUGGGUGUGGCCAAAAAAAAAAAACCAAGAAUGCAAAUUGGGUAUUUAUGUAACAAAUAGCACAAACUAUAAGAUAAACUGACUUAUAUAGCAAAGCGCCAAUAAAUAACAAUAUUCUUAUUUCGCCAAUGACUUACUUUCAGCUACUUAUCCCCUUUCAGGAGUUGUCACUUUCAAGUAUAAAAGGACUUCCAACAACCUCUUAGUACUGUCAGCAACCUCUUAGGCUUUAGAAGCACUCAACGGGACAAAAUGAUUCCAGGCAGGCCUCGGCUACAGAAAAGGAAGGAGGAAAAGAGGAAGCAGCAAAGAAUAAGACAUAGAAAACUAGACCUCCCUUUCCUGCUCCAGUCCCAUCAAUGGACUUCGCGCACACCUACAAGUCCCCAAGCCUCUGCCUGCGUAAGAAGGUCUGCACGCAGUUAGACCCUGCCGUCCCCACGCCCCUCUGCUCCCCGACAUCUUUUCCUACUGCUCUUCCUAUCACCCCCCACUCAGCCACAGUGACCCCCUCCUUACUGUUCCUACAAAGGCCACCAUUGGCUUCUGCCCCAGGACCUUUUCACUUGCCACAACUCUCCUCGGAACACUUCCUCCCCAGGUGGCCACCUGACUUCUUUCAGGCACCUCAACUAUGACUUCAUCGGUUACUCCUACCCUCCCUGUCUCACAUGCUACUCCUCAUCCUCCUUAAUUUUGCUUCCUAGCAGCUUCUCACCCUAUAGUCUCUGUGUAUGCAAGGAUUUGGGUGGAGCUGUACAUUUUCUGUCUGCUCUCCAAGUAGGCAGGGAUGUUGGGCCGCUUAUUGCUACAACGCUUUGCCUAGAACACUGCCUGCCAUCCAACAAAUAUUUGCAAAAUUAGUGACUAAUCAGUAGGGGGAGAGAGAAAGCCUUUCACAAGCACUUUAAACACCAACCCAUCCAAAUCACAGUCCCAGGAAGCGGAUCGUGAAAAUCCUUUGCAAUACAACGUUCACUCUCGUCCUGUGUAUGUUAGUGAGCAACGUAGUUUAUAGCUAUCGCAGGGAUAUAUGCGGAAAAUCAGCUGGUGUAGAAAGGAAACAACAGCAUCCCAUGAACCACAGGUAGGAACUCAUGACGUGGACAGAGAUGGCAGGAGAAACACUGUAACAUCCACCACUGAAAAGGGAGUCGGAAAGCAACACGGGAAGCUCCAAGCCAGGAGCAUCAAGCCCACAGGGAUCCGGCAGGGAACACCGGUGAGUGAAGCAGCAGGUGGGAGACGUGGGGACCGUGGGCACACAGAAGGACAACAAGCAGCUCUCCUUCAGCGACAGGCUUUCCCUGGGAUGUUGUGACCGGCACUGCCAGAUCUUCCAAUAUUCCAAGACCACAUGGAAAUCUGAUUUUUGUAUGAAAUCACAUUGCAACUAAUUUUUAAAAUAAAAGCACUGGUUGGGGGUGGGGGAUUGAGAGGGCGGCGAUAGCAUA